rnacentral:rRNA from 1 species
UACGUAGGUGGCAAGCGUUGUCCGGAAUUACUGGGUGUAAAGGGAGCGUAGGCGGGGCUAUAAGUUGGAUGUGUAAUACCGGGGCUCAACUCCGGGGCUGCAUCCAAAACUGUAGUUCUUGAGUGAGGUAGAGGCAAGCGGAAUUCCUAGUGGAGCGGUGAAAUGCGUAGAUAUUAGGAGGAACACCAGUGGCGAAGGCGGCUUGCUGGGCCUUAACUGACGCUGAUGCUCGAAAGCGUGGGGAGCAAACAGG